AUAUGCCACAUAAAGUGAUGUGUGAAAAAUAGGCGAGAAGUUAGCCUCCUGAGUUCAGAGAAAACUUGGAUGAUUUAGCUAAAAGGUAUCCUAGUACAAAUAAACAUGGAAGAUUUAGCUCAAUAAAAGGUAUCCUAAGUUUAGAAAUAAACUUGGAAGAUUUAGACGAGACAAGGUCUAAAUAAAAGGUAUCCUAAGUUUACAAAAAAACUUGGAAGAUUUAGACGAGACAAGAUCUAAAUAGUGAUCACGUGUAUGUAUGUGUGUGUGAGAGUUGAGACAUGAAUGCUACGUUUUGCAAAUGAAGCAGCAGUACUGAUGGAAACCUAACCAUGAUAACAUAAAUCAGAAGUCUGUUGAAGUAGUUAGCAGAACCUCUGGAUUAAGCAAACACAUUGUCAUAAUGGGAAACUGUUGCAGUUGUUGUGGCUGUUGUAAAUCCUCCAAGGGCCCGGAGGUAACAGGAGAUCAGAAGUACAUGCUGCAUGUAGAUGAAAAAAGGCAUAGCAGGACAUAUGAAUAAAUAGGAAAACUAAAUAUGGAGUUUCUGGAAAGUUAAAAGUUGAAGAUUUAGAGGAUGCUGUGAGAAAGUUACAGGUUAGAGUGGCCACCAAGAAGGGAAACGCAAAAGGAAAAAAGGAGGAGCUUGCGGCAGCUAAGGUGUGGCUCACAGAAAGUCACAAAAGGAGGAAAGGGAUUAGAAAAGGAAAAGGGACCAGAGUAAUGUUUGUGAGACAAGAGGAUAAUGAAGGACAAGGGAGACGUAGGAGACGCCAGCAGAUAGCUGACCCUGGGCCUCCUCCUGGUCCAGCAAUUCUGCCAGAAGGCCAGGGUUUACUCCCACCAGCGCAGGCUCCAGCGGGAGCUGCAGGGGAAGUCGCGGAGGGAGCUGCGGGGGGUGCUCAAGCUCCAACACCCACUACACCCCCCCCCCCCCCCCCAAUUACCUAAUGCACAGAGAAUUUACCCAGAUCUAACCCAAAAUGAUCAAGGCAUGAAUCUCAGAGACCGUGGUACGAUACGCCCACCAGAUAAAUAUUCGCCUUGGAAACUUAAUCCUAAUAUUGCAGAGCAAUUUCCCUUAGUACAGGUACCAAACCCCACUGCAGAUGAACAUGACGCCAACCAGCCUAGGUUCCUCUAUGUGUUCAGACCCUGGACUUUAGAGGAAGCAGAAAGAGCAGUGAAAGGGUUAACAUCACCAGAUGAAGAUGUAGAAGCGUGGGCAGUUGAUUUCAUGCAACUCCUAAAUUCUUAUCGCCUAAAUGGCCAUGAAACAGGACAAGCCUUUCAGUCCUCCCUUGGAAAAAAUUGGGGGAGGGUUCAAGGGAAUUAUGCGGGAAGAAACGCUCAAGGACAAAUUUUACCUUAUCUAGACGAAGGCCCUCUGCCAGACGGAGAGUACAAAGCAGCAGUAGAUGGAGUGUUGGCUAGAGCUAGAUUAGCACUGAUGCAUAGAGCAAACUGUGUGACUCUGGUGUUAAACAAAAAACCGGAGAACCUCUUGAUGAGUUUAGAAAGAGAUUUGAAAAAGAAUUUCGUGUGCAUAGCAUAGGUGCAUAGCGGUAUUCCACACGAUCUAGCCCCAGCAGGACCCUACCAGCAACAGUUAAAAAACAUGCUGCUAAACAAUUUCUUACCAGACAGUUCGUACUGGGUGAGAAAGCAUGACAUAGAGCAUGAAACACAUAGUCCAGACCAAAUCAUUCAGUAUGCUCGUCAUGCGGAGAAAUUUCUGAACAAACAAAGAAAGAAGGGCCCCACUGAUGAUGGAGGUGUGUUUUUAACAGAUGCAGAUGCUCAUUGGGAAAGUGAAUAAAUGAGAUAUAUUACCAAGGAGGUCGUCGCCCUCCCAACCAUGGCCACAACAGAAGUAGAGGAGAAUAGCGCGGGAGGGGACGGGGUGGUUACCAAAACCUGAUAAAAAAUACCAAGACAAGCUUUUCCAACACACAGAGGUACCAAUCUGGACCUGUUAUCUCUACUCAGACGGGAAAUCAACCACGGUAGUUUCUGUUGAAUUACCUUCUAAUGUGAGAUCACUAUUCUGGUUACCUACAGACCCUCAUCUCUCUCUCACUAAAGCCACAGAACUAAAAUGGCGAGAUUUAGGCCCCAUAG